rnacentral:rRNA from 1 species
UGGGGAAUAUUGGACAAUGGGGGCAACCCUGAUCCAGCAAUGCCGCGUGUGUGAAGAAGGCCUUCGGGUUGUAAAGCACUUUUGUUCGGGAAGAAAUCGUUGGUAUUAAUACCGCUAACGGAUGACGGUACCGAAAGAAUAAGCACCGGCUAACUUCGUGCCAGCAGCCGCGGUAAUACGAAGGGUGCAAGCGUUAAUCGGAAUUACUGGGCGUAAAGCGUGCGUAGACGGCACAUUAAGUCAGCUGUGAAACCCCCGGGCUCAACCUGGGACCUGCAGCUGAUACUGGUGAGCUUGGAGUUUGAGAGAGGGUGGUGGAAUUCCUGGUGUAGCGGUGAAAUGCGUAGAGAUCAGGAGGAACACUAGUGGCGAAGGCGGCCACCUGGCUUAAAACUGACGUUGAGGCACGAAAGCGUGGGGAGCAAACA